rnacentral:pre_miRNA from 1 species
AGUCAUGUCUAGUAGCCAAGGAUGGCUUGCCUAGCAAUCCCAAUAUUCAUGGGACUUUUGUACGAAUUCGUUCGUUGUUGAAGAGCCUUGUUUGGUUAAUUUGGCAAGCUUUCCAUGGCUAUUUGAUUGUCUCU